UUUAGAUAUAACCUACCAGUGUAAGGGUUUUUCUAAAGUAAACAGCAUUUAAAUCUCCAUGGUAACCUGUAACGCUGUAAAAACUUUAACUCAUUACAAGCCAGCGAGAGCGGUCAUUUCUGAGGAUCAAAUCUGAAGAGAACAGCACGGAAAACUUAAGUGGCUCACGAACUUACACCUUUUGACGGCUUCAUCAUAAAUAAAACCUCACCAGACGACCAAGGACUCCGUCAAACACCUUCGACAAACACCUGAACAGAGAGGACAACAUCUACGACAUGGAGACCGUAAGAUUUCAUGACAAUAUUAUCAUACAAACUUGUGUUACUGUCGAGACUUUCGUGAAGGAUAAGCGAUGCAUCGACAAGAAUUAAAUGUGUGCAUGGAUAUUUACAGUGUUUAUGACUUUAAUGUGACAGGCAUUAUCAAAAUUAACCGAAAAUAAGUGAAUAUAGGCGUUUUUUUGUGUGUGUGUUACUGUCGAGACGUUCGAAUGGUUAGCUUAAAAGUGAUUCAUUGACAUCACAUGAAAGUCCUGCCCACCAUGUCAAAGGCUCUUUGUGCUUAAGAGCAGAAAAGCUCAUGUUAUUGUGCGAAAUCUCUCUAAGAGAUUUUUUAUGUCUUCUGGGCUAUUUAAAGCCGUCAGUCUGAAACUUAUUUGACAGUUUCUCUUUAUACUAACCAAUGCUAUCAGGUGAAAACUAUAAACACAAGCUAUUUUCACUCUUAUUACAGCGAAAGAGGCACAGUGAAAUGUGGUGUUAAACUAAGGGACACCUUCAUAACUUUAAAGAAUGACAGUCAUCAUAAAAUUCAACAACCUAUUUAUGAAUGCUCUAAUAGGUCUUGGUAACCAAAAAAAUCCUAUGAAUUACAUUUGAACCUAUUUAAAAAGUUACAAAAACAGAUGAAAUUAAGUUAAAAGUAAUGUCCUAUGUACAGCCUUUAAAAUGAAGAGUUCGAUAAUGUUCCACUGAAAUAUGUUUUCAUGUUUUCAUGGAUCAAGUGUGUGUGUUUUUUUUUACCACAAUAUUUAAAAUUUCAAUUAUGGGAAAAAUUCACUAAGUGUAAUCGAAACACUGUCCUAUUGUGGAAGUCAGUUUUUUAUCAAACUGAAAACAGAGGAUUUUCUUAUUUAAUCCUGAAAAAGUCUUUUUCCCAAUAAAAUAAAAUGACUGAAAUAGACAUACCAAAAAUAUAAAUUCUUAAUGGAGGGUGUUGCAUUGAUGUUAAUCUAUUUCUAUUGCACAAUUAACCUGCUGAUUAGAGACUAAAUUCAAAUUAAAAUGUAUUGACUGUCUCUUCUUGAUGAUACUGAUGUUACAGAUGCUUCCUUAAUGACCUUGACCACACAGUCAAAUGUUACAGCUUGUUUAAUUUAAAUGUCUGCGUUGUUUCUGUCUUCAGACCAGCCGACGCUUCACACGGACCUCGGUCCUUGUGCACAGCUUCCACUGGUCCUGUCCCAGGCCGAUCUUGAAGAGGGUCGCGGCAACACCCAUGUCCCGUUCCAAGCCUCGCUCUGUAAGUAGGAAACCACACUGACAACAUAGAUAGGCCAUUAGCAUGCUCUCAAAACAACGUACAAAACUUUUAUAGUCUGAAUGAUUUUAAUUACAGAAAUAUGUUUAUGAAUUUGUCUUUUUUAAUUUUAAUUUUCUUUAACAUUAAUUUAUUUCAAAGAUGUGAAACCUUCCCCUGGAAAAAUCAUUUCUGCAGACUUCAGAUUUUAUAAUUUGUCGUUUUUUCUGUCUCAGGUCCAAGUGUAGCAGUACAGCCUCGUCCAGAACCAGGAUAAGUCCACUCCUAGGCUGUUACUGAGGAAGGUCCCACCGAUGGACGGCCCUCCACAUUUCUCCUCCCCCAAGCUCAACCAGGUAAGUCACUCUCACUCCUCUUCUGUCUCUCCCUCUUUCUCUCCCUCUCCUCCUGUCUCUCUGAGAAAAAAAGAAAAAAGAAAGAAAAAAGAAAAAAAAAA
rnacentral:lncRNA from 1 species